rnacentral:rRNA from 1 species
CAGCCGCCGCGGUAAUACGGAGGGUGCAAGCGUUAAUCGGAAUUACUGGGCGUAAAGCGCACGCAGGCGGUCUGUCAAGUCAGAUGUGAAAUCCCCGGGCUUAACCUGGGAACUGCAUUUGAAACUGGCAGGCUAGAGUCUUGUAGAGGGGGGUAGAAUUCCAGGUGUAGCGGUGAAAUGCGUAGAGAUCUGGAGGAAUACCGGUGGCGAAGGCGGCCCCCUGGACAAAGACUGACGCUCAGGUGCGAAAGCAUGGGGAGCAAACAGGAUUAGAUACCCCUGUAGUCCCUGUCUCUUAUAC